GUUGAACGCUGGCGGCAGGCCUAACACAUGCAAGUCGAGCGGAUGAAGGGAGCUUGCUCCUGGAUUCAGCGGCGGACGGGUGAGUAAUGCCUAGGAAUCUGCCUGGUAGUGGGGGAUAACGUCCGGAAACGGGCGCUAAUACCGCAUACGUCCUGAGGGAGAAAGUGGGGGAUCUUCGGACCUCACGCUAUCAGAUGAGCCUAGGUCGGAUUAGCUAGUUGGUGGGGUAAAGGCCUACCAAGGCGACGAUCCGUAACUGGUCUGAGAGGAUGAUCAGUCACACUGGAACUGAGACACGGUCCAGACUCCUACGGGAGGCAGCAGUGGGGAAUAUUGGACGAUGGGCGAAAGCCUGAUCCAGCCAUGCCGCGUGUGUGAAGAAGGUCUUCGGAUUGUAAAGCACUUUAAGUUGGGAGGAAGGGCAGUAAGUUAAUACCUUGCUGUUUUGACGUUACCAACAGAAUAAGCACCGGCUAACUUUGUG
rnacentral:rRNA from 1 species